GACGAACGCUGGCGGCGUGCUUAACACAUGCAAGUCGAACGGAAAGGCCCUGCUUGCAGGGUACUCGAGUGGCGAACGGGUGAGUAACACGUGGGUGAUCUGCCCUGCACUUCGGGAUAAGCCUGGGAAACUGGGUCUAAUACCGGAUAGGAGCCAUUUUUAGUGUGAUGGUUGGAAAGUUUUCUCGGUGUAGGAUGAGCUCGCGGCCUAUCAGCUUGUUGGUGGGGUAAUGGCCUACCAAGGCGGCGACGGGUAGCCGGCCUGAGAGGGUGGACGGCCACAUUGGGACUGAGAUACGGCCCAGACUCCUACGGGAGGCAGCAGUGGGGAAUAUUGCACAAUGGGCGCCAGCCUGAUGCAGCGACGCCGCGUGGGGGAUGACGGCCUUCGGGUUGUAAACUCCUUUCGCUAGGGACGAAGCUUUUUGUGACGGUACCUAGAUAAGAAGCACCGGCUAACUACGUG
rnacentral:rRNA from 1 species